rnacentral:ribozyme from 1 species
GUCACGGUGUUUGAGAAGACGCAGGCAUUUGCGCGGUUCGGAGGCCCCAUCCAGUUCGCGUCCAACGCCCUCAGCGUUAUCAA